GAUGAACGCUGGCUACAGGCUUAACACAUGCAAGUCGAGGGGAAACGCCGGGGAAGCUUGCUUCCCCGGGCGUCGACCGGCGCACGGGUGAGUAACGCGUAUCCAACCUGCCUCUGACUGAGGGAUAACCCGUCGAAAGUAGGCCUAAUACCUAAUGGCAUCGUCUGCGGGGAUCCAACGACGAUUAAAGAUUUCAUCGGUCAGAGAUGGGGAUGCGUCUGAUUAGCUUGUUGGCGGGGUAACGGCGCACCAAGGCGACGAUCAGUAGGGGUUCUGAGCGGAAGGUCCCUCACAGUGUAACUGAGACACUGUCCAAACACCUACGGGCGGCAGCAGUGAGGAAUAUUGGUCAAUGGGCGAGUGCCUGAACCAGCCAAGUAGCGUGCAGGAUCACGGCCCUAUGGGUUGUAAACUGCGUUUAGGCGGCGAUAAAGUGAGGGACGUGUCCUUCAUUGCAGGUACCGCAUGAAUAAGGACCGGCUAAUUCCGUG
rnacentral:rRNA from 1 species